CCUACGGGAGGCAGCAGUGAGGAAUAUUGGUCAAUGGGCGGGAGCCUGAACCAGCCAAGUCGCGUGAGGGAAGACGGUCCUAUGGAUUGUAAACCUCUUUAGGCGGGGAGCAAUGCCGGGCACGCGUGCCCGGAGGGAGAGUACCCGCAGAAUAAGCAUCGGCUAACUCCGUGCCAGCAGCCGCGGUAAUACGGAGGAUGCGAGCGUUAUCCGGAUUUAUUGGGUUUAAAGGGUGCGUAGGCGGAUUUUAAAGUCAGCGGUAAAAUGUCCGGGCUCAACCCGGGCCGGCCGUUGAAACUGGGGAGCUUGAGUGGGCGAGAAGUAUGCGGAAUGCGUGGUGUAGCGGUGAAAUGCAUAGAUAGCACGCAGAACUCCGAUUGCGAAGGCAGCAUACCGGCGCCCGACUGACGCUGAGGCACGAAAGCGUGGGGAUCGAACAGGAUUAGAUACCCGAGUAGUC
rnacentral:rRNA from 1 species